rnacentral:rRNA from 1 species
UUCCAGCUCCAAUAGCGUAUAUUAAAGUUGUUGCAGUUAAAAAGCUCGUAGUUGAAUUUGUGGUGUUGCCUGUGGUCCAAAAUGUUUUGGUACUGUUGAGCAUUGCCAUCCUUGGGUGGAACCUGUGAGGCAUUAGGUUGUUUUGCAGGGGAUGCCCAUCUUUUACUGUGAAAAAAUUAGAGUGUUCAAAGCAGGCUUAUGCCGCUGAAUAGAUUAGCAUGGAAUAAUGAGAUAGGACUUUGGUACUAUUUUGUUGGUUUGUGCACCAAAGUAAUGAUUAAUAGGGACAGUUGGGGGUAUUCGUAUUCCAUUGUCAGAGGUGAAAUUCUUGGAUUUUUGGAAGACGAACUACUGCGAAAGCAUUUACCAAGGAUGUUUUCAUUAAUCAAGAACGAAAGUUAGGGGAUCGAAGAUG